rfam:Erinaceus europaeus unplaced genomic scaffold scaffold00226, whole genome shotgun sequence
GGCCAUGGCCGUACUACCCUGAACAUGCUGAUCUCAUCUGAUCUCAUAAGCUAAGCAGGGUUGGGCCUGGUUAGUACUUGUAUUGGGAAACUGUGACCUGUGUAUA